AUUGAACGCUGGCGGCAUGCCUUACACAUGCAAGUCGAACGGUAACAGGUCUUCGGAUGCUGACGAGUGGCGAACGGGUGAGUAAUGCAUCGGAACGUGCCCAGUCGUGGGGGAUAACUGCUCGAAAGAGCAGCUAAUACCGCAUACGACCUGAGGGUGAAAGCGGGGGACCGUAAGGCCUCGCGCGAUUGGAGCGGCCGAUGUCAGAGUAGCUAGUUGGUGGGGUAAAGGCCUACCAUGGCAACGAUCUGUAGUUGGUCUGAGAGGACGACCAGCCACACUGAGAAUGGGACACGGCCCAGAAUCCUACGGGGGGAAUCAGUUGGGAAUUUUGGACAAUCGGCGCAUGCCUGAUCCAGCAAUGCCGCGUGCAGGAAGAAGGCCUUCGGUUUGUAAACUGCUUUUGUCAUGGAAGAAAUCCUCUGGGUUAAUACCUCGGGGGGAUGACGGUACCUGAAGAAUAAGCACCGGCUAACUACGUGCCAGCCGCCGCGGUAACAC
rnacentral:rRNA from 1 species